AGAACCUUUCCGGCAAUGCAGAUUCCAUAUCCAAAAUGCUCGGAAGGAACCUUCGAUAUCCAAUCCCACAUGGAACCUGCCCUAAGAGCGGUUUUCGAGACAAAAACUGGUCAUUCUGUGGAUCCGAGAUAGAACUCCGGUCCUGCAACUCCUUCCCUUGAUAGCCUUGAGUUGUUGGUUACACCGCACCGGAAAAGCACUCUCUGGGAAAUCCGGAUCUUUCUCAGCAGGGAC
rnacentral:lncRNA from 1 species